rnacentral:lncRNA from 1 species
AAGAAAACUGUUAAAAAAUAAAUAGUUCACUAACGGAUUUUAACCAGAGGGACAUAUCUGCAUAACUUAGGACUUUUGCAGGGACAACUUAUGAAAUUUUCGUUUUGCAGGAAUAUUUCUGCAAUUCACUAUGUUUGCAGAGACGUGUAUACAAAUAACCCUUUAAUUUAUAUAGAACAUUAUCUACAAUUUGAUACAAAAAUAUGUCUAAUAGUUCAAUACAAAAUAAUUAUAUGAAAUACGGUAUAAUAAUAUAAAUAAAAAUAACUUAUGAGUUGAAUAUCUAAUCUUUUCAACCUCGCAUGUCUUCUUUUCCACCUAUAAUCUCCAUAUUAUUCUUUUUCAUUUAUGCGAUCAAAAAAUGAAUAAAUUAUAUAGGCAAAUAUUAGAUUAAAUUAUCCAAUCAUAUAUAACUAAAAUCAAAAUUUUGUAUAAACAAUAAUUUUCCACCUAUAAUCUCCAUAUUAUUCUUUUUCAUUAAUGCGAUAAAAAAAUAAAUAAAUUAUAUAGGCAAAUAUUGGAUUAAACUAUCCAAUCAUACAUAACUAAAAUCAAAAUUUUGUAUAAAUAAUAAUUUUUUACCUUAAAAAUAUUCUGUAUAUUUUUUCAAUCACACAAUUAAUGGUAAGGUAGGCAAUGGCGGGUGCGUGCUGUUACUUGGUAACUUGGAGGGCUUAAAGUUUGUCCGCUUGGGGUGAGAGAGAGAGAGAGAGAGAGAGAGAGAGAGAGAGAAAGAGAUUAGGGAUUUAGAGCUUUGUGGAAGAAAGUGAUGAAGAGAGUUUAAAUUUAGUAAAAUUUUGCCCUUUUGUUUGUCUAUUGGAUUUGUUUUUAUAGACCAGCAACAUUAGCCUAAUUUUAACUAAACUCAGGUUAUAUAUAUAUAUAUAUAUAUAUAUAGAGCAGGGCUGCUGUGCUCUUAGGAGCACGGAGGCCUCCGUGCUCCUGAGCCGUUUUCGAUGAUGGAAUUUUCGAAUUGACGAUCGGCUCCGUUAAACUUGAUCUACCGUAUUUAAAGUUUCUAGAAAAUAAUUUUUGCGAUUUUUCGAUAUCAUUUACCUAGCAAUCGAAAGGAUUCAAAAUCAAUAAUUUUUAACGGCUGAAAAUAAAAAUCCUAUAAAAAGUGGUGAUAUAGCACUAAAAUUUUCGAUCAGAAAUAUAGAUCUUGUUGUAGAUAGUAUAAAGAAUUUUCUAU